rnacentral:rRNA from 1 species
UACGAAGGGGGCUAGCGUUGCUCGGAAUCACUGGGCGUAAAGCGCACGUAGGCGGAUCUUUAAGUCAGGGGUGAAAUCCCGAGGCUCAACCUCGGAACUGCCCUUGAUACUGGGGAUCUCGAGUCCGGAAGAGGUCGGUGGAACUCCGAGUGUAGAGGUGAAAUUCGUAGAUAUUCGGAAGAACACCAGUGGCGAGGGCGGCCAACUGGUCCGGCACCGACGCUGAGGUGCGAAAGCGUGGGGAGCAAACAGG